UCAAUUUGCGCCCUAUUUGAGACUAAAGCAGGCGGGGUGGCGACCUCGUCUUAAGAUAAGAUAUAGGCAAUAAGACUUUAAGCGCACCUGAGCGCCUUUGCCCAUAGAGAAUACUAGGGACGAAAGUCUCUGGGGGGGUUCUAUGGAGCAAGUUUCCCAUUGCUUUCGCAAACCAGUGGGGACAACCCCCCAAAAAAAACGAGUUUUCC
rnacentral:lncRNA from 1 species